AAUAUUUUCUUUUCAAAAUACAUAAAUUAUCCGGAUUGGUCAUGGAAGUGUUCCUGCUGUAUAUAAGAGAAUACGUUGUGCGAACAGAAAUAAAAUUUGAUAACACAUUGUGUAAAAUUCAUAUCUUGCUCCCUUGGCUGCUGUCCACAUCUGAAGUCAAUGUACUUCAUGAGGGUUCAAUGACCUCGGUCAUCUAAACACAGGUAAGUCUUGAAACUUUAACAAUAACACAUGCAAAGUUUUAUAAAAUGAUUUUAUGUUAAAUAUAUAUGUUAAAAUUAUUAAAAUAAGAAAUUUGGUUAAGGAAACAAUUUUAGGAAUAUAUUCAAUUUGAUAUAAAGAUAUUUGUAAGCU
rnacentral:lncRNA from 1 species